CAGACAACUGUGAAACUAUAACAAAAACAAAAACGGCAAACGGUUAUGAAAGUUAAAAUUUCUGCAGGAAAUAAUUCAUUGCACAUUCGUAUACAUUGGAAUAAGAGAGCGUUAAGCGGUCGCAGAUAGUUACUGAUAAAGCACUAGACGAAAUUUAACGGUGUCGACUUCCUGGAAAACCCUUGAAAAUCAGUGAAUAUCAGGGAAUUUUGUCAACAAUCAGGGAAAAAUGCUAAUUCGCAAGCUGCGCAAAAGUAGACAGCUUCCCAUACCUCUCGCCAAUGCCAGCAGCCGGUAGCAUUCCAGCUUCGAUAACUUCGAAUAGGGCGAUCCCGGACCAGUGCCAACACCUGUCAAUCAAUGAUCAUCUAGUCUAUCCACGAUACCAAGCUGUGCAAGCUCUUCAAUGCUCAGCAUUGCAGUGGGCGCGAAAACUUCAGCAUCCGCAGCUGCUUCAUCAAAUAUACCCUCGGGCACUGCCACUGCCACAACCGCUGUUGGAACACCUCAAGCACAACCUGCGACAGCUGCGGAGGCGGGCGCUGACGCAGCUCCCGCGGCAGCAGCAGCCCCGGCUAGAAGGUUUCCUAAUAUUGUGGUCGAGGAGCAAGAAAACCGUGACUGGUUGAACAUUUUCUUUACCUUGUAUCGGGUGUGAAUCCUGAUGACCGUGGUACAGUGCGGACUCGAUUAUAUACAUUUUUUGAUUUCUUUUCACUGUAUAUGAUCGAAUCCUGUAUAUAAUCGAGUCAAAAAAAUUUUUUUAUUUGUUUUUUUUACAUGUAUUUUUUGAUUUUUGAAAAU